GUCUUUUUGUUUUUAUUUAAAGUCUAGCCUGCCCACUGAAAUUAUUUAAAGGGCCGCGGUAUUUUGACCGUGCAAAGGUAGCAUAAUCAUUAGUUUUUUAAUUGGAAGCUUGUAUGAAUGGUUGGACGAAAUAUUGACUGUCUUUAUUAAAUUUAUAAUAGAAUUUAACUUUUUUGUUAAAAGGCAAAAAUUAUUUUAAAGGACGAGAAGACCCCAUAGAGCUUUAUAUUUUUUAUAUUAUAAUUUAUAAAGAAUUAUUUAAAUUUUAGUGUAAAAAUUAUUUUGUUGGGGUGACAAUAAAAUUUAUUGAACUUUUAUUAUUUUAUAACAUUGAUUUAUGAAUUAUUGAUCCAGUUUUAUUGAUUAAAAGAUUAAGUUACCUUGGGGAUAACAGCGUAAUUUUUUUAAAGAGUUCAUAUCGACAAAAAAGAUUGCGACCUCGAUGUUGGAUUAAGAGUAAUUUUAGGUGCAGAAGUUUAAAAUAUUGGGUCUGUUCGACCCUUAAAUUCUU
rnacentral:rRNA from 1 species